rnacentral:rRNA from 1 species
CCGGUGAAUACGUUCCCGGGCCUUGUACACACCGCCCGUCAAGCCAUGGGAGUCGGGGUACCUAAAGUCGAUAGCCGCAAGGCGUUGCCUAGGGUAAAACCGAUGACUGGGGCU